rnacentral:rRNA from 1 species
UACGUAGGGACCAAGCGUUGUUCGGAUUUACUGGGCGUAAAGGGCGCGUAGGCGGCUUAACAAGUCACUUGUGAAAUCUCUGGGCUUAACCCAGAACGGCCAAGUGAAACUGUUAUGCUAGAGUGCAGAAGGGGCAAUCGGAAUUCCUGGUGUAGCGGUGAAAUGCGCAGAUAUCAGGAGGAACACCGGUGGCGAAGGCGGGGUCUCUGGGCCGAUACUGACGCUGAGGAGCGAAAGCGUGGGGAGCGAACAGG